rnacentral:rRNA from 1 species
ACGAACGCUGGCGGCGUGCUUAACACAUGCAAGUCGAACGGAAAGGCCCUGCUUUUGUGGGGUGCUCGAGUGGCGAACGGGUGAGUAACACGUGAGUAACCUGCCCUUGACUUUGGGAUAACUUCAGGAAGCUGGGGCUAAUACCGGAUAGGAGCUCCUGCUGCAUGGUGGGGGUUGGAAAGUUUCGGCGGUUGGGGAUGGACUCGCGGCUUAUCAGCUUGUUGGUGGGGUAGUGGCUUACCAAGGCUUUGACGGGUAGCCGGCCUGAGUGGGUGACCGGCCACAUUGGGACUGAGAUACGGCCCAGACUCCUACGGGAGGCAGCAGUGGGGAAUAUUGCACAAUGGGCGGAAGCCUGAUGCAGCAACGCCGCGUGCGGGAUGACGGCCUUCGGGUUGUAAACCGCUUUCGCCUGUGACGAAGCGUGAGUGACGGUAAUGGGUAAAGAAGCACCGGCUAACUACGUG